GAGUUUGAUCCUGGCUCAGGACGAACGCUGGCGGCGCGCCUAACACAUGCAAGUCGAACGAGCGAGAGAGAGCUUGCUUUCUCGAGCGAGUGGCGAACGGGUGAGUAACGCGUGAGGGACCUGCCUCAAAGAGGGGGACAACAGUUGGAAACGACUGCUAAUACCGCAUAAGCCCACAGCUCGGCAUCGAGCAGAGGGAAAAGGAGCAAUCCGCUUUGAGAUGGCCUCGCGUCCGAUUAGCUAGUUGGUGAGGUAAUGGCCCACCAAGGCGACGAUCGGUAGCCGGACUGAGAGGUUGAACGGCCACAUUGGGACUGAGACACGGCCCAGACUCCUACGGGAGGCAGCAGUGGGGAAUAUUGCACAAUGGGGGAAACCCUGAUGCAGCGACGCCGCGUGGAGGAAGAAGGUCUUCGGAUUGUAAACUCCUGUUGUUGAGGAAGAUAAUGACGGUACUCAACAAGGAAGUGACGGCUAACUACGUGCCAGCAGCCGCGGUAAAACGUAGGUCACAAGCGUUGUCCGGAAUUACUGGGUGUAAAGGGAGCGCACGCGGGAAGACAAGUUGGAAGUGAAAUCUAUGGGCUCAACCCAUAAACUGCUUUCAAAACUGUUUUUCUUGAGUAGUGCAGAGGUAGGCGGAAUUCCCGGUGUAGCGGUGGAAUGCGUAGAUAUCGGGAGGAACACCAGUGGCGAAGGCGGGCUACUGGGCACCAACUGACGCUGAGGCUCGAAAGUGUGGGUAGCAUACAGGAUUAGAUACCCUGGUAGUCCACACCGUAAACGAUGAUUACUAGGUGUUGGAGGAUUGGCCCCUUCAGUGCCGCAGUUAACACAAUAAGUAAUCCACCUGGGGAGUACGACCGCAAGGUUGAAACUCAAAGGAAUUGACGGGGGCCCGCACAAGCAGUGGAGUAUGUGGUUUAAUUCGACGCAACGCGAAGAACCUUACCAAGUCUUGACACCCUGCGACGCACAUAGAAAUAUGUGUUUCCUUCGGGACGCAGAGACAGGUGGUGCAUGGUUGUCGUCAGCUCGUGUCGUGAGAUGUUGGGUUAAGUCCCGCAACGAGCGCAACCCUUACUGUCAGUUACUACGCAAGAGGACUCUGGCAGGACUGCCGUUGACAAAACGGAGGAAGGUGGGGAUGACGUCAAAUCAUCAUGCCCUUUAUGACUUGGGCUACACACGUACUACAAUGGCGUUAAACAAAGAGAAGCAAGACCGCGAGGUGGAGCAAAACUCAGAAACAACGUCCCAGUUCGGACUGCAGGCUGCAACUCGCCUGCACGAAGUCGGAAUUGCUAGUAAUCGUGGAUCAGCAUGCCACGGUGAAUACGUUCCCGGGCCUUGUACACACCGCCCGUC
rnacentral:rRNA from 1 species